GCUUACGGCCACACCUCCCUGAGCACGCCCGAUCUCGUCUGAUCUCAGAAGCUAAGCAGGGUCGGGCCCGGUUAGUAGUUGGAUGGGAGACCGCCUUGGAAUACCAGGUGCUGUAAGCC
ensembl:rRNA 5S_rRNA 5S ribosomal RNA